UCAGUGAUGCCAUCCAACCAUCUCCUCCUGUGUCGUCCCCUUCUUCUGCCUUCAGUCUUUCCCAGCAUCGGGGUCUUUUCCAGUGAGUCAGGUCUCUGCAUCAGGUGGCCAAAGUAUUGGAGCCACUGCCUGUCCAUUUAUUUGACUGAAUUAGCCUGAACCUGCCAAACCCUUGUUUGGCCAUGCGUGAGUUUUCCCUGGUCACUUGUUCCCCUGAAUCUCAUGUUUGUGGCAGUUAAAAUGCAUUGUCAGCAUCAGAACACAGUGAAACAGUUGUUUGUGACAGCGCUGGGGUCUGACGUCCAGACCUGGCCGUCAUUCAUAUAUCAGUUGUGGUGGCCUUUGAGCCUGGGGUUUGGUCCAUCCAAGAGGUGGCCAGAAGCUCCCGCACCCACUGCCCGGGGCGGUUUUACGUCAGGGUCCUUGGCAGAGAGCCCAGCACAGGGUGGUGGCGGCUAUUAGGUGACAUCAUGUUCCGUACCAGGGCACCUAGCGCGGGAGGGUGAGGAUUGUUCCGUAUCGAGGGAGGGGCCGGCAGGGUGGCAGCAGGAGUUGCAUCAGAAGGGGACUUUGGACAAGAGAAAGCAGUCUGUUCAGUCCAACAUGCAGAGUCACAGGAUUGAGCAGUGAGAAGAAGCAUCAGUAACACUAGGGUUAAGCUUUGAUCAUCAGUUUCUUGAACAAAUAUGAGUAUACCUGCAAGUGCUUUUUUUAAGGGUAUAAAAUGCUACACAAAUACAGGGCUGUCCUCCUAAGUAGUCCGUGCUCCGUACUUUUAUAAGCAAGUAAUCAGGCACAGACAGCUGAAGUGACUUGCACCCUCGCCCAGCCUGCAGGGGGCAGGACUGGGGCUCCCAGGCCCCCACGAGUGGGCAGGCAGCAGGCAGGCCCCCUCCGGUGGGCUCAACAUGUAUGUGGCCCUGUGAGGUCACACACUUGCGCUGGCCCACAUAUCUGACACACGUUGGAGGCCUUUGAAGUCGGGGAAAGGGCCCGUGGUAGUGUGUUUGCAACCCCUCCAAAACCAGACCCUUUGUGAACAAGUCUCUAUUGUGACCUUCACCGUCAGGAACUUGGCCCCGAGACUCUUGGCAAUCUGCUGACAAUCAACAGGGUAAAGUCCGCUUGCCUCAGUGAACCGCUGACGCGCGUGUCCCCUGAUUAGCACUGCCACCUUCACUGAGGUCAGCACCUCGUCUGAGAAGAGGACUCUGGACGCACCACGUCCUUAGAGCUGACGCCACGGCCACCACCGCACCUGAUACCCCACCAUGCGCAGCACUUAGCGUUAUACCUGACACCAUACCUAGUACCUCUCCAAACAGUGUGCCGGGCAUCCCACGCAACUGCAUCUGAAACCGCCCCAGCACCAUUUUUGAUAGCCCACUGAGCAGAACACCUCGCAUCACACCAGUCCUACCGACGUUGCAUCUGACACCACACCUACCAGGAUGUGAAGGGGCCUGGUCCUGUCUGACCUUAACCCAGCAGGAUGUUGAGCACCUCCUACGUGCCAGGCACCGGACCAACUUCCUUAGACGUUAGAGAAGUAUUUGGAGCUUUGACAAGCUCCCCUAAUAAGGGAGAAGAGGACGGGUGACUAAAGGGGAAACCCAUGAGGCCUGUGUAAGAAGUCUGGGAGGUUUUAUGGAGCAGUAUAGGAGUGAGGGCUUUUGAAAACAAAGCUUCAUGUACUGCAGUUAAAUGCCUUUAGUUAUCUAAAAGUAAACAUAAGAAUUCUGGUUUCAUUUCAACCAGAAUGUUAUCCUUAUUUGUACUUGAAAUCAUGUUUUGGUUUAAGUUGUUUCAGCAACAAGUUGGUGGCUUUAAACCCACUCACGGGAGGUGGGUGGCCAGCCCACAGCUCCUCUGAGGGCCAGGACUGCUCACCUCCAUGGUAUCAAGGCUGCGAAGCUCUAGGUGCAGGGGGCACGUGAAACCACACAGGCAUCCUCUUCUUGAAGCUUUCUCUUCAUUUGGGAAGGGCACCCCACUGACCUGUCACUUCAUGGGAAGGGGCCUCGAACUAACCCAUCACUUCAGCCUCAUGGUCACCGUCCCUGCAGCAGGUCUGCAGACACUUGGUUCUGGCAUCAGGGAAGCUGCUGCCAGGGAGAUAAAACUGGCAUCAGGUACGCACACAGGUAAAUAGUGUCAAGCUGAGGUGUGUACACAUGAGGGCUGCGAUUAUCCAAAGGAAAAUCCUCCAGAUAGUGACAAAGCCAUGCAUCACAUCAGGCAUCACAUCUCGGAGAUGAGUGUCCUGGGCGGUGGGGGUGGGGUGGGGUGGGGUCGGGUGUGCAGAUGGCUGAAUGAAUGCAGAAGCCAGGUCAGGUGUGGGGGAGGUGGGUAGAAGGGGCACCUUGGGGAACAGUGCAGCCGGAAGAGGAAGCAUGGCUCAGAGUCCCAGGGCUGGUGAAACCUGUAAGCCAAAAAAUGACCUUCACUGUCACAGCCUUUUUUUUUUUUUUUUUAAUUGGAGUAUAAUUGCUUUACAGUGUUUCACAACCUUUUUAAGAGGUCUGACUUCAUUAAACUUUACCUGCUUUAAGUUGCAGUGUGAAGGUUUUGCAAACUGUGUGCAACCAACAAUUGUCUGUCACCAAGUGAUCAUAUCUGGUGAAGGGGGGCUUGCUGAUUGUUGGGGUGGGCUCCUUGGCUUGGCAGUCACCUGAGUGCAGGUGCCCACCCCUCCUGCCUGGAACUCGUGGGGGAGGGCCUGGCCAAGCUGCAGGGGAGCAGAACUGCGCACCAGCUGCUGUGUGCUGGUGGUGCGGGCGGUGGGGGUGAAUUACAGGAAAGGAGGACGCUGCAUUCCUGGCAUAUUCUUUCCCAAUGGUUCCCAGCUCUCUGCAAUACCGGUAUGAACCAGUUUUUUCUGACUGCCUCCAGCUUGAGCAGAAUUUCCGUCGUUGUUGUCCUCAGCCAAUUGAAAAUCACCUGGAGUUUUAUCCCAAGCACAAAAGAAGGUCAGAGAGAGGAGGCCCGAUAACUGCGAUUUCCCCCCCACCUCCCUGGUCCUGGACUGGAAGGUCCUAUAGCCUUUGUCUGCCAGGCCUGUGCUUCCAGGUGUCAGCACUGGAAAUUCUUUGAUUUUUUUUGUUUGCUGGCUUUGACAAGGGUCAGCCACCCUGAGAGACAAUGUUUAUCCUUGGGUUGCCCUGUUCUGACUCACUUAGCCUGAUCAGCAUCUCUGCCUGGUGGCCGCUCUGUGUCAGUCCUGCCUGCCUGCACCUUUCCCAGGAGGGUGUGGUUGGCACACCGGGUACUCAGAUCAUCAGUGUGAUAACUUGCCCCCCUACCCAACCCCUGCAGCUGCCACCACUGUUCUUGUUAGUCAAAGCUGAUUUUUCUGAAGAGAGAUGAACUUGUGGUUUUUGCUGGGCCUUUUGGCUCUGGAUCUUUUAGCAGCUGGUGCCCCUCAGGAUGAGGGGUCGGCUUGCAGCCAGGGGACCCUCUCUAUCCAAGGUCUUGUUGUUGGGCAGUUGCCACUGCAUUUCAGAGACGUCUUCAUGUAUUCUGUGAGGCAGAAGAUGGUGUUUAAGGCUUGAAGAAAGUGUGCUGCUCUCCAGAGGCUCCUUGGUUUCAGGGUCAUGCCCUGCCCCCCAGGGCAUGGCCCCACCCCCACUUAGAGCCCUAGGGUGUGUGUCCACAGUAGGACUUAGUGUGGACACAGGUAAGGGUAGGGACUCCAGUGCCAGAACCAGUUGGGGGCAAAGUAGAAACUAGAUUGGGUUUUACAAGCCUGUUGGUUCUUGGCGUGCAAGGCUGGUCUGACUCUUGCCCUAUUGCCUGCUAUGUCAGCAAGGCUCCUUGUAGUCCAGGCCCUCGGUUACUGGACGUAUGGGUGGGAGCCAGAGAGAGCCCUGGGCCAGGGCCACUCCCAGAAUGCAUGGAGCUUGCAUGGCCUGCUGUUCAAGCUCCACAAAGUUGGAAAUGUUUGGGGGUGUCCAGCAUGUCUGCUUCUUAGGCCCUCAUAAGGAACUAGGUGGAUGCCAAGCCCGGGGCAGCCUUACCUUGCCCUAGGCUGCUGAUCCUGAGACAUCCUCUCUUUCUCUCACAGGACUAAGUCAGUUGCUUUCUCUGGUGGACAUACUGCUUUUAAUCCUGUUAGAAAACUCAGAGGGAGAGAUUGGUCUUGGGGUUCCAUGCCCCAGAUGAAGAAUGUCCUUGGUUGUCAGGUUGCGUGAUGUGAGAUUCUCUACAGUCAGUGUUAAGGCUGGCGCCACAAGAGAACCCCAGAUCUCCCUUCUACCAUCAACUGACAAACUAAAAAUAACCAGAACGAAUGAUAUAAAUGCUCUGGAGCACUCCCCUCAGAAACACUUUCAGUGAGAGGCCGGGCUGCCCUGUGUGAUGCUCCAGGCCUGCGCCCGCCCCAAGAGGGUUGUGACUGGUGACACGCAGCCAUCUCUUGGACCGUCCAAGUCAUGUGUCUACGCAUCCUAAAGAGCCUGCCUGAAAAAGCCAGACCUUCAGGACCAAUCUCCAGGUUUCUGCCCAGACACAGACCCAUCUGGUACCUGUGCAAGCUCCCAGACAAGCCCAUCUGAACAACAUCUUGGUCGCACUUACUAGGAAGAUGCACACAAAUCUAGUGAACUUUCUCCUCUCCAGGUUUUUCAAGGAGUCUCACCAGAGUUCACUGACAGAAGAAUCUUAGAAACUGGAAAAACGCAUGGCAGAGAAGAAAGACAGUGUUUUCACGUUUCUAAACUGCUUCUUGUUGUUUAGUCGCUAAAUCAUGUCUGACUAUCUGUGACCCCGUGGACUGUAGCCCACCAGGCUUCUCCAUCCAUGGGAUCUUCCAGGCAGGAAUAUUGGAGUGGGUUGCCAUUUCCUUCUCCAGGGUCUAAACUGCUUGAGUUUUACUAUAUUUUUUUUGCAAUGAAGUUUUAUUAAACCUUAGUUUUUCUGACCUCUA